rnacentral:rRNA from 1 species
GUGUCAGCCGCCGCGGUAAGACGUAGGUGGCGAACGUUAUCCGGAAUUAUUGGGCGUAAAGGAUGCGUAGAUGGUGUAAUAAGUUAUCGGUGGUAAAUCGAGGCUCAACCUCGUGGAAGUCGGUAAUACUGCUAUGCUAGAGGAUAGGAGAGGUUAACGGAACUCCCUGUGGAGCGGUGAAAUGCAUAGAUAUAGGGAAGAACACCAACAAGGCGAAGGCAGUUAACUAUUCUAAUCCUGACAUUGAGGCAUGAAAGCGUGGGGAGCAAAACGGAUUAGAAACCCUCGUAGUCC